rnacentral:misc_RNA from 1 species
CCGAGAGAGAGCUAGAGAAGCACGAGAGAGAGACUGAAGGGUCUAAACCCCCCCUUCCGGGCUUGGGUCGGGGGGGGAGCACAGUGGAACCGUUACCUCCGGGCGGCCCGGCUGGCGGGCCCGGGGCGGGGAGAGAAACUCCCGGCGGCUCGACGGUCUCAAGGGGGGGUACCUGUGCCGCUCGCAGCCUGAAGCGGCGACAGCCCCGACUCUUGGGCGAGGUUUAAUGAGAGGCCCCCGCCUCUGCGCCUCCGCCCCCCCUCCGUCGGCUGUUGGGUCCUCGCCUUGGGCGCGGGCCGCCCUUUUUUGUCGACGUUCACCUCCCGGUUCGGGAACGGUCAGUGGAAAGAAAAGCGAACAAAACCUGAAAACCAAAAAAACACAACUCUGAGCGGUGGAUCACUCGGCUCGUGCGUCGAUGAAGAGCGCAGCCAGCUGCGAGAAGUGAUGUGAAUUGCAGGACACAUUGAACAUCGACGACUUGAACGCACUUUGCGGUCUCGGGUAACUCCCGGGACCACGCCUGUCUCAGGGUCGAUUGCAGUCUGACCUUCGCUCUCCGCCUCGGGGGCCCCCGUGCCCCCCAAGAGAGCGCCUUGGGCCCGGUCGCAGCUCCCCCGGCCUCUGUGGGCGAGCUCCGUCCCCUCAAGUUCAGACCUCGGAGAGACGUAGAGCUGGGCUCCCCACCCUGCCCGUCAACUUGGGGAGGUCGCACCCCACGUCCUCGUUCCGUCGCGCGGAGCGGUGCCACGGCCUGUAGGUGGCUAGCUACGCGGGUCGGCCGGUGGUGCGAGGCUCUCGUCCGCAGCUCUUUUUCUCGAUUACUCGACCUGAGAUCAGACGAGACUACC